UGAGGAAUAUUGGGCAAUGCCCGCAAGGGUGACCCAGCAACGCCGCGUGGAGGAUGAAUGUCGUAAGAUUGUAAACUCCUGUUAGAGGGGAAGAAUAGUACCGGUUGGACCGGUAUAUGACUGUACCCUCAGAGAAAGCCCCGGCUAACUACGUGCCAGCAGCCGCGGUAAUACGUAGGGGGCAAGCGUUGUCCGGAUUUACUGGGUGUAAAGGGCGCGCAGGCGGGAUAAAAAGUCAGUGGUGAAAUCCUACAGCUUAACUGUAGAACUGCCUUUGAUACUUUUAUGCUUGAGCUUGGGAGAGAGAGACGGAAUUCCAGGUGUAGUGGUGAAAUACGUAGAUAUCUGGAAGAACACCAGUUGCGAAGGCGGUCUCUUGGUCCGACACUGACGCUGAGGCGCGAAAGCGUGGGGAGCAAACA
rnacentral:rRNA from 1 species